AUUGAACGCUGGCGGCAGGCCUAACACAUGCAAGUCGAGCGAGCGGCGGACGGGUGAGUAAUGUCUGGGAAACUGCCUGAUGGAGGGGGAUAACUACUGGAAACGGUAGCUAAUACCGCAUACCAUCAGAUGUGCCCAGAUGGGAUUAGCUAGUAGGUGGGGUAACGGCUCACCUAGGCGACGAUCCCUAGCUGGGCUGAGAGGAUGACCAGGCAAACUGGGACUGAGGAACGGGCCAGACUCCUACGGGAGGCAGCAGUGGGGAAUAUUGGACCAGGGGCGCAAGCCUGAAGCAGCCAAGCCGGGUGUGUGAAGAAGGCCUUCGGGUUGUAAAGCACUUUCAGCGGGGAGGCGUUACCCGCAGAAGAAGCACCGGCUAACUCCGUGCCAGCAGCCGCGGUAAUUC
rnacentral:rRNA from 1 species